rfam:Triticum aestivum genome assembly, contig: Triticum_aestivum_CS42_TGACv1_scaffold_513664_6BS
CUACUACUCCCUCCGUCCGAAAAUACUUGUCAUUGAAAUGGAUGUCUAGAUGUAUUUUAGUUCUAGACACAUCCAUGUUGAUGACAAGUAGUUCCAGACGGAGGGAGCAUUAU